rnacentral:rRNA from 1 species
UACGUAGGGUGCGAGCGUUGUCCGGAAUUAUUGGGCGUAAAGAGCUCGUAGGCGGUGUGUCACGUCGUUCGUGAAAACCUGCAGCUUAACUGUGGGCGUGCGGUCGAUACGGGCAUCACUGGAGUUCGGCAGGGGAGACUGGAAUUCCUGGUGUAGCGGUGAAAUGCGUAGAUAUCGUAAGGAAGACCAGUGGCGAAGGCGGGUCUCUGGACAGUUCCUGACGCUGAGGCACGAAGGCCAGGGGAGCAAACGGG